ACAAAAAAAACACAAAAAAG
rnacentral:sRNA from 1 species